rnacentral:rRNA from 1 species
GAGUUUGAUCGUGGCUCAGGAUGAACGCUAGCGGCAGGCCUAACACAUGCAAGUCGAGGGGUAGAGGAAGCUUGCUUCCUUGAGACCGGCGCACGGGUGCGUAACGCGUAUGCAAUCUACCUUGUACAGAGGGAUAGCCCAGAGAAAUUUGGAUUAAUACCUCAUAGUGUUAUGAUGUGGCAUCACAUUAUAACUAAAGUUUCAACGGUACAAGAUGAGCAUGCGUCCCAUUAGCUAGUUGGUGUGGUAACGGCAUACCAAGGCAAUGAUGGGUAGGGGUCCUGAGAGGGAGAUCCCCCACACUGGUACUGAGACACGGACCAGACUCCUACGGGAGGCAGCAGUGAGGAAUAUUGGUCAAUGGGCGCAAGCCUGAACCAGCCAUGCCGCGUGCAGGAUGACGG